GGUGCACCACUCACUGGCGGUGAACAGCGAGAACCUAAACAGGACAGCGAACACGACUCGCCUAACCUCCGGACAGCCACGUCUUUCCCCACUCUCCGGACGAACCUUCCCGAUGGCGACGCCGACCUCCCCUCCAGCUGCCCCCGCGUCCACCGCCACCACCUCCGUCUCGCGUCUCCGGCCACUGCGCCCUUUCGUUCCGCGCCUUCGCUUCUGGCCAGCACCAGUGGCGGCCGCCGCCGCUGUGCCUUUCUCGAUUGCUCUGGGCCCAGGCUGUCGUCCCUUGCCCGGCAUACGCUGUCGAGCCGCCGCCGGGCCCUCGCCGCCCUCCUCAGAGCCCCCUCCUCCAUCCCCGCACGGUUGGCAAGAGAGGCUGUCAAGUUUGCAGGAUAGAGCAAGGAUCUUCUUUGCCGUUCUGUUCUGGAUGUCAUUGUUUUUCUGGGGAAGUGCUUGGGAUGGAAGUAACAACUCCGGAGGCAAGAAGCGGCAACGAUUUCGAAAGAAGUCAAAGUGAAGAUGCUUUAAGAUUGGCAUUUUUUUCAUAGGGAUAUAGCCUUCUAUGUUCAAGGAGACAAGGACUUGUGAACAUUCAAUGGUGCAUAGUGAAGGUGUAGGCAUAGAAAGUUGUCGUGUCGUGUUACAUAGUUGUAUUUCAGCAGCCGGUACCCUAAAGUAAAUUGCUUGGUCCUGCUGUAUAUACUGCCAAUCAUGAAUCAUGGAGACAUGGGUGACAUCAUAAUGGACUAA